AAUGAACGUUGGCGGCGUGGAUUAGGCAUGCAAGUCGCGCGACAAGGAACCUUCGGGUUCUGGAGGAGCGGCAAACGGGGUAGUAAGGCAUCGGAACGUACCCUCUUGUUGGGAAUAGCCGCGGGAAACUGCGAGUAAUGCCCAAUAAUCCCUACGGGGCAAAGGUCCGCCGCAGGAGGAGCGGCCGAUGUGAUACCAGCUAGUUGGUGAGGUAAUGGCUCACCAAGGCUUAGACGUCUAGGGGGUGUGAGAGCAUGGCCCCCACCACUGGGACGUGAGAUACUGCCCAGACACCUACGGGUGGCUGCAGUCGAGAAUCUUCGGCGAAUGGGCGGCAAGCCUGACCGAGCAACGCCGCGUGCGGGAGUGAAGGCCCUUCGGGUUGGUAAACCGACUGUCA
rnacentral:rRNA from 1 species